rnacentral:rRNA from 1 species
CCUACGGGUGGCUGCAGUGGGGAAUAUUGCACAAUGGGCGCAAGCCUGAUGCAGCCAUGCCGCGUGUGUGAAGAAGGCCUUCGGGUUGUAAAGCACUUUCAGCGGGGAGGAAGGCGGUGAGGUUAAUAACCUCAUCGAUUGACGUUACCCGCAGAAGAAGCACCGGCUAACUCCGUGCCAGCAGCCGCGGUAAUACGGAGGGUGCAAGCGUUAAUCGGAAUUACUGGGCGUAAAGCGCACGCAGGCGGUCUGUCAAGUCGGAUGUGAAAUCCCCGGGCUCAACCCGGGAACUGCAUUCGAAACUGGCAGGCUAGAGUCUUGUAGAGGGGGGUAGAAUUCCAGGUGUAGCGGUGAAAUGCGUAGAGAUCUGGAGGAAUACCGGUGGCGAAGGCGGCCCCCUGGACAAAGACUGACGCUCAGGUGCGAAAGCGUGGGGAGCAAACAGGAUUAGAUACCCUUGUAGUC